AACCCCAUCCUCUUCUCGGCAUUCGUCCCCUAUGUUUGGUUCUUCUAGCUCGGUCCUAUUCGCUGACGGCCACUCCGGCCACCCAAACCAUCCCUGUCUCGCCUGAUCCCGACGACAUGUCCCGACAUGUCCCUGUCUGCUACGUCAUCGGCUCGACAGGUCACGCCGGCUGCACCUCCGGAUGGGUUUCUGUCGCCAUCCUUCUCCCUGGGAGGCUCCCGCCAUGCCGACCCCGGGGGACGCGCUGCUCCACCUCGCCCUUUGCGACUUCGCCUCGCCGCUCAUCUUCCCUCUGACGCCAAGAUCGCCGCUCUGCUCGCCGGUGUCGGUUUGGAUUUCCCAGCUUCACCCCGCUUCGCCGCUCCCUUCUGGUAUGGUCAAACUUUGCAUUAACUUCUGGAUUGGUUCGUCCUUUCAAUCUCCUUUGGUGCGUUCCUUUGGAUCCGGUAUUUUCUCGAUUAUAGUAGCUAAUUUGUAAGUCGCCAAGUUCAUAAUCUCGCUGCAAGGUGUUCGUCAUGGGGCGGUAGUCCUAGGGUUCCAUGAGGCUCCUCCGCGAGCUAUUUUUCAAAAUUUGAAUCCUUCUGCCCACGCUGACGUCGGGGGCGGUAAGGCCUCCUGUGCUGUCUCUGCCUCCGGCCUUAGCCAGGCCCGCGUGCCUGCUACCGCUGGCGAGACCGCAGACAAGGAUGCUAGUCAAAGGCUUCCUUCGGUGUCGCCUUGCUCCUCUCUGCCUGCCGCGCUUGUCCUUUCCGCUUGUCCGACUAGCUUGGACGCUUCCCCUGUGCCUGGCCAUUCUGCCACGGCGCCGGCUCGCUCUGCGUUGCAAGCUGCUUCGGCCCAUGAAGAUACUUCGCUGGCCCUGGAUUCACGUGCACCGAUUGGCUUUCCCUUGCCCUUUUGUUCGGUCCUAGUGCAACCUGCUGCCCCUUCGCCUCUGGUUUGCUCCGUGUUGCAUGGUCCCGUUCCUGAUACGAGUAGGAGGUUUCGUAAGCGCCCGCUCACGCUUGACGUGCUCGCUCCAGGGAUUCUGCCCCAACCGUUUGGACCGGUCCAAUGGCUCACACACUGCGCGAGGGCUUCGCGUUCUCCUAGGUUGCAGUCCUCCUUCAUGGGCCACGAUCCUACGCUGCAGCAAACCCCCUCGUAAUCUCCAAACCUCGGGUGUCGCCUCCGGUCACUGCCCCCCCCCCCCCCCGGCGGCCCUCCCGUGACCAAGUUGAGCUUCGCUCAAGCUCUUAUCUCCCCUUCCCCCUAUUUAUCCCCGGUCUCUCAACGCUCAAUCCCCCAUGCCACCACCCACCCACCGGCUGCGAAGUCUAAGUACCUCACAUCGUUGCUUUCGCUGCCUCGCAGCGGACCAUCUUGUGGAAGACUGCCGUAACCCUCUUCGGUGCCGCGCUUGCUGGGGCUUUGAACACCGUCAGGCCUCGUGUCGUCGCUCAGGUUUCUCAACCCCAUCCUCUUCUCGGCAUUCGUCCCCUAUGUUCGGUUCUUCUAGCUCGGUCUCUCAUUGCUCUAACUCGAUAUCCCUUUCUCACGUGUCCGACUCUGCAGCCAUGUCGGACUUCAUCCCUCUCGAUGCCGCGCUCGAAAUCAUCUCCUCCGAGUCCGAAUUGGAACGGUCCUUCGAGGACAAGUUCAUGGUGCAUGACGCUCCCCUUGUGGUCGAGGAGGCGGAGGACCCCGACGAGUACGAGCCCAACCCUGCGGACUCCGACCCACCGGAGCCGACAGCUGGGGCUGGGGAGGAGUUGCCUUCCGGCGACAACGAGUACGAAGAAUUCUACUCCGGGGACGACGAUACCUCCUCCGACGGUGGGUCGGGUGACACGCUCUCCCAUGACUCUCGCCCGGACUGCAUGGACGUCUUCAUGACGCACGUUCUGCUUGGACAUUUUAACAACCUUGCAUAUGCUUAUGUUCACCCCCCUGCCACCUCGCUUGCCUAUUUCAUUCGCCGUGCUUUGCAGUCCCGCCACUUCCACACCUCAGCCUCUCUCCGCCCUUUCUCCCAAGGCUCCGCUCUGGUGUGUUUCGGCUCCCACUAUGAGCGCGAGUUCGCUGUCCGCAACAGCCCCUUCCCUGUGGGCCGGGAGCACACUGUUUACCUAGUGAGGCACGAUGAGACCGAGAACAGAUUCCUCUUCGAUCACCACAACCUAGCUGCCCUCUCGAUCGAUGACUACCCACUUGAACACUGGUUUCCUGCCCACAUCCUUACCUCCACCGGCCCUUUCGCCAACCCUUACAAAAUUGAUCCCAUUUGCAUCACUGGGGUAGACUACUCCACUGUCUUGGUCACGGUCAAAACUCGCUCCCUUACCAACAUCCCUAGGUCUAUCGCUGUCAACGGUUUCUCCAGAGAUGACGCCAUUGCCACUGUUAACAUCAUCCACUCCCAAGACCUCCAACCCAUACACGACAAUCCUUUCCCUCCACGUUUCCCCCGCAGCUCAUCUGGUGGCUCCAGCGAUGGUGGUGACGGUGGCGGCGAGUUCCCCGUCUUUAUGGACGCUGAACUUGCUCCACCACCUCCUCCGCCGGUGGCCCCCUCGUCGGGACAGCCCUUUGAUGGUCGCAUUGCUGAGCUUCCCGGCCGCCCGCCGAUGUUCGCCACCCCAGCACCCUUCGUCUCUGCGUCCCCCCUUGAUGCCAAGCCCAAAGAUGUGCUGUUUAAACUCUACCCAAGGUUCUACAAGCUUCACGUUUCCGACCAAAACGGGGAGCGCGGUUUCUAUCGCCUUCCAAUGCAGGUCGCGGGCACUCGCGGUCUUCUCGUGGCCAACCUCGCGACGUGCUCCAUCGGGUUCCUUGACUGGAUCUCCACUGUUGGCCCGCAUCGUGCCCCAAUGCCAUCGGUGGAGGUCCUGUGCAGGGACACGGGUGCGUUGCAGCUUUCUUCCGAACCGCCGCCGCCUUUAGAAGACGCAAACCAGCUACUGCUUUUGGACGACGUUCCCCCAACGCAGGCCACCCCUCGUCGUAGCCCGCGUCUUGCUGCUGUCGAGUCUCCUACCUACACAACCAUCUUCGAGAAGGCAACUGAACGCAAGAAGAUGAAGAUGGAGGGUGCGGCGCUUGGCACUCGUCUACGUGAAGGCGAGAUCCCGAAGGACGAGCUCCUGGAGUUGGCAGCGGAAGGCUGCGGUCCGCUUCUGCGCAGGGACAUCAGCCAGCUCGCGGCGGUGUGCGGGGUUGAGCCCGCGGAUCUUCUGAAGGUGACUGAUGUGGUUUAGAUGGUGUACGACGGUGGCCAGCUGUAUCUUACCGCUUUGCUAGUUUCCCUGUUUUCUUUCGCUUUCCUGUAUCCUGUCGCUCCCCCACCUCUUAGUAGUUCUGUUAGUGGGUGUGUGUCUUUUUAUUGUAUUUUCAAGCUGCCGACGGACUGGUCCUUUGGCUUGUAUCGUGUUUCCCUAGCAGCUAUUAUCCUUCCGUGUCCUAUUUCUCGGUGUCGUUCUCUGUUCAAUCAUUAGGAAGUUCCCCGUCAUAUUUUGGAAUGUUCGUGGCCUUGGUCGUGCAAAAAAAUGUACUGACGUCCGUUCCGCCAUUAACGAUGCCUCCCCGUCGAUCAUCGCUCUUCAGGAAACUAAGCUGGUGGAUAUCUCCUCUUUUAAGGCUGCGUCCUUCCUUCCGCCGGGCUGUUGGUCCUUUCUGUUCUCCCCUUCGGACGGGGCUUCCGGCGGGCUGCUCACGGCCUGGAACCCGGAAGAUUUGGCCUGCUCCUUAUUGGCCCGCCACCCCUACUCCCUUUCCUGCACCUUCUCUUAUAAGACAUCUGACUUUUCCUUUUCUCUAACUAACGUUUACGGGCCAUGUGGGCCGGAUGAUAAGCAGGCCUUCCUCGGUGAGCUGCUGUCCAUCGGGCUAGGGAUAAAUGGGCCGUGGGCCUUAAUCGGCGAUUUUAAUCUGAUUCUGCGGCCGGCCGAACGAUCGAACCUGAACUUCAAUGUGCCGGAAGCUGCUCGUUUCGCUGCUUGUCUCAUCGCUCUUCAGCUCCUUGAGAUUCCUCUACUCGGGAGAAAUUUCACGUGGACUAACCAACAAUCGGCUCCUAUCCUUGUCAAUCUAGAUCGGGCUUUUGUGAACCUUCGGUGGAGCAAUCUCCUCCCCAACUCAACUCUCUCUUUCCUACCUCGCUGGACCUCUAAUCACGUCCCAAUUUUCCUUUCGGUUAGUUCAGACAUCCCGACCCCUUCGGUUUUCCGGUUCGAUAAUCACCUUCUUCUGAGCGACCCCUUCGGCUAGCUAGUUUCCCGUGUUUGGAAUAGUUUUGGCCACCACCAUGAUUCCCGUGGCCAGCCUGGGAUGCUCUGCCGCAGGCUAAAACGGGUCAGGGAGGAGACUAAGAAGUGGCGCCGGUUCACUCGAUCUCCUUCGCUUCUUGCUAACAACUGCCUUACGGUUAUCUCCUUCCUGGACAAAAUUGAAGAGGCUAGAUGCCUCACCUCGGAAGAGCUCGUUCUUCGCUCCUCGGUCAAAGUCUCCCUCCAUAAGCACAAUGCCUUGAAAGCUUCGUAUUGGAGGUAACGUGCCAAGAUUAAAGACUGCUCCAUGGGCGAUGAAUACACAAGGUAUUUUCACACGUGUGCUUCGGUCCGUCUCCUUAAAAACCAAAUCAAAAUGCUGGAUGUGGAUGGCGCUCUUGUCUUCUCCCAUGAUGGAAAACAAAUCUUACCAGUUUCUUCUCCUCCAUCAUUGGGAUUCCAGGGCCAUCCUCCUUCCUCUUCGACAUUGACGAACUCCUUGCCUCUUCCAGCCUCACUCCCUCGCAAGCUCGUUCCCUUGUCGCCCCAUUCUCGCCCCAGGAAAUUAAAAACUGUCUGUUGUCCAUGAAGGACAACUCAAGCCCAGGGCCUAACGGUUUCGGCCCUGCUUUCUAUAAGAAAUUAUGGCCUCUUGUGAAAAAUGAUAUUAUGGGGUUUAUGUACGGGUUCUUUGCUGGCUCUGUCGACCUACGCUGUAUCAAAAAGGCUCUCAUCGUGCUUCUCCCAAAGAAGCAAGAUGUUGCCUCACCCAAUCACUUUCGCCCGGUCUCUCUGCAGAACUGCUGUCUGAAAAUUGCAUCCAAAUGUUUAGCCAUUAGACUUCGGCCUUUCAUUCCAUCGCUGGUUCACCUUGAUCAAACUGGGGUCAUCCUCGGGAGGAAUAUCUCGAGAACUUCAUUUACGCUGCCGACAUUGUCCAAACCUGUUAUAAAAGGAAGUUGCCUUCCAUUGCUCUAAAACUAGACUUCCAGAAGGCCUUCGACUCGGUUUCUUGGGAGGCUCUUCAAAAAAUUCUAUGUGCCAAGGGGUUCCCCCCUAAAUGGUGCUCGUGGAUCGCUAACCUAAACUCUUCUGGCCAGUCCGCAGUCCUCCUCAAUGGGACGCCUGGUCCUUCAAUCCAGUGUAGGAGGGGUUUGCGACAGGGGGAUCCACUUUCUCCUUUCCUUUUUAUUCUCGUCGCCGACGUGCUUCAGCGCCUCCUUCUGGAUGCCUCCGCCAACGGCCUAAUCUCUCACCCCAUAGACGAUUCUUUGCCUUGCCCCGUGCUGCAAUACGUUGACGACACUCUUAUUAUCCUCCGCGCCGACCAUUCUCAACUCUUGCAGCUCAAAGAACUACUCUCGAACUCGAAAUUUUUGGCGGCCACAGAUCUCCAAAUUAAUUUUCAUGAAAGUACUUUUGCGCCUAUUCACGUUGACUUGCCGGAAGCCAGCUCCAUGGCUAAUAUUUUUGGCUGCCCGAUCUCUUCGUUCCCCCAAACCUACCUGGGUCUUCCCUUGUCUACGCAUAAGCUUCGGCUUUCUGCCUUCCGUCCUAUUAUCGACAAAGUAGACCGCCGGCUAGCCGGCUGGAAAGGGAAGUUGCUAUCCAUUGGCGGUCGGUUUAUUUUAGUUCGUGCUGUCCUUCGGGCCUUACCUUCCAACGCGAUGGGGGCUGUCCUUCUUCCCGCGGGCACGGUGAAGGAGAUUGACAAGCGCUGUCAGGCCUUCUUUUGGACGGGUAAGGACCAUGCAAACGGGGGUAACUGUAAGGUGGCUUGGGAUGAGGUUUGCACGCCGACUGUAAAAGGGGGCUUGGGCUUUCGUUGCCUUCGCACUCACAAUUCUUGCCUUCUUCUCAAACACCUUGCCAAAGUUCACUCCCUCGGUGCUUCAUCGUGGGAGCAGCGCUUUGCUUCCACCUAUGGCUGGUCCGCUCAUCGGGACCUUGGCGAUUCCCAUAGCAUGGAUUCUUAUGUUUGGAAGGACCCGCUCACCACUCUUGACCUAUUCCGCAGCCUAACCAAGGUCACCAUCGGAAAUGGCUGGUCAACUUCCUUUUUGCUCGAUCUUUGGUUCGGAAAUGACACCCUUGCCUCCCGCUUCCCUGCCUUAUUCUCUCACUCACUACGUCCCAACAUCUCGGCCUCGGCCAUCCAAACUUUCGACAGCCUUACGACCUUUCGGCCCCGGCUUUCACAUGCUGCGACAAUUGAAUUUUGGCGUCUUGCAAAUUUUGUUGACUACUGUGGUUUUUAAUUUAUAGGUCCAGGACUCACGUUCGGGGAGGUUGGAUGGU
rnacentral:lncRNA from 1 species